rnacentral:rRNA from 1 species
UACGUAGGGUGCAAGCGUUAAUCGGAAUUACUGGGCGUAAAGCGUGCGCAGGCGGUUUUGUAAGUCUGUCGUGAAAUCCCCGGGCUCAACCUGGGAAUGGCGAUGGAGACUGCAAGGCUAGAAUCUGGCAGAGGGGGGUAGAAUUCCACGUGUAGCAGUGAAAUGCGUAGAGAUGUGGAGGAACACCGAUGGCGAAGGCAGCCCCCUGGGUCAAGAUUGACGCUCAUGCACGAAAGGCGUGGGGAGCAAACAGG